rnacentral:rRNA from 1 species
GGCCUUUUGGGUAUAAUUUAAGGUCUGACCUGCCCAGUGAUGAAUUUAACGGCCGCGGUAUACUGACCGUGCAAAGGUAGCAUAAUCAUUAGUCUUUUAAUAGAGGGCUGGAAUGAACGGUUUAACGAGGAACUGACUGUCUCAUUUUAUUUGUUUUAAAAUUUAAUUUUUUAGUUAAAAAGCUAAAAUUUUAUUGGAAGACGAGAAGACCCUAUAGAUCUUUAUACAAUUUUGUAUUUAUUAACAUGUUUAUAUUAAAAUUGUAUUUUGUUGGGGUGACGAAAAUAUAUGAUUAACUUUUUUAUUUAUUUACCAUUGAUAUAUGAGUAUUAGAUCCAUUAUUAGUGAUUGUUAGAAUAAGUUACCUUAGGGAUAACAGCGUAAUCCUCCUCCAGAGUUCAUAUUUACAGGAGGGCUUGCGACCUCGAUGUUGGAUUAAGAUAAUAAUUAGGUGUAGCCGCUUAAUUUAUAGGUCUGUUCGACCUUUAAAUUCUU